AACGAACGCUGGCGGCAGGCCUAACACAUGCAAGUCGAGCGAGCAUUUCGGUGCUAGCGGCGGACUGGUGAGUAACGCGUGGGAACGUGGCCUUUUCUGCGGAAUAGUCCUGGGAAACUGGGGGUAAUACGGCAUACGCACUUUUGGGGAAAGAUUUAUCGGAGAAGGAUCGGCCGGCGUUGGAUUAGGUAGUUGGUGGGGUAAUGGCCCACCAAGCCGACGAUCCAUAGCUGGUUUGAGAGGAUGAUCAGCCACACUGGGACUGAGACACGGCCCAGACUCCUACGGGAGGCAGCAGUGGGGAAUCUUAGACAAUGGGGGCAACCCUGAUCUAGCCAUGCCGCGUGAGUGAUGAAGGCCUUAGGGUUGUAAAGCUCUUUCAGCUGGGAAGAUAAUGACGGUACCAGCAGAAGAAGCCCCGGCUAACUCCGUG
rnacentral:rRNA from 1 species